rnacentral:tRNA from 1 species
GAGGCUGUAGCUCAGUGGAAAAGUACUUGCCUCGCAUGCGUGAGGCACUGAGUUCAAUCCUCAGCACCACA